CCUACGGGAGGCAGCAGUAGGGAAUUUUUCACAAUGGGCGAAAGCCUGAUGGAGCAACGCCGCGUGCAGGAUGAAGGCCUUCGGGUUGUAAACUGCUUUUAUAAGCGAGAAAUAUGAUGGUAACUUAUGAAUAAGGAUCGGCUAACUACGGGCCAGCAGCCGCGGUCAUACGUAGGAUCCGAGCAUUAUCCGGAGUGACUGGGUGUAAAGAGUUGCGUAGGUGGCAUAAUAAGUAGCUAGUGAAAUCUGGUGGCUCAACCAUUCAGACUAUUAGCUAAACUGUUAAGCUCGAGACCGUUAGGGGUAACUGGAAUUUCUAGUGUAGGAGUGAAAUCCGUAGAUAUUAGAAGGAACACCAAUAGCGUAGGCAGGUUGCUGGGACGGUUCUGACACUAAGGCACGAAAGCGUAGGGAGCAAACGGGAUUAGAUACCCUAGUAGUC
rnacentral:rRNA from 1 species